UGCGGAGGAUCAUUAGUGAAUAUAGGACGUCCAACUUAACUUGGAGUCCGAACUCUCACUUUCUAACCCUGUGCACUUGUUUGGGAUAGUAACUCUCGCAAGAGAGCGAACUCCUAUUCACUUAUAAACACAAAGUCUAUGAAUGUAUUAAAUUUUAUAACAAAAUAAAACUUUCAACAACGGAUCUCUUGGCUCUCGCAUCGAUGAAGAACGCAGCGAAAUGCGAUAAGUAAUGUGAAUUGCAGAAUUCAGUGAAUCAUCGAAUCUUUGAACGCACCUUGCGCUCCAUGGUAUUCCGUGGAGCAUGCCUGUUUGAGUGUCAUGAAUACUUCAACCCUCCUCUUUCUUAAUGAUUGAAGAGGUGUUUGGUUUCUGAGCGCUGCUGGCCUUUACGGUCUAGCUCGUUCGUAAUGCAUUAGCAUCCGCAAUCGAACUUCGGAUUGACUUGGCGUAAUAGACUAUUCGCUGAGGAAUUCUAGUCUUCGGACUAGAGCCGGGUUGGGUUAAAGGAAGCUUCUAAUCAGAAUGUCUACAUUUUAAGAUUAGAUCUCAAAUCAGGUAGGACUACCCGCUGAACUUAAGCAUAUCAAUAAGCGGAGGAA
rnacentral:rRNA from 1 species